AUUGAACGCUGGCGGCAGGCCUAACACAUGCAAGUCGAGCGGGUGAAGGGAGCUUGCUCCUGGAUUCAUCGGCGGACGGGUGAGUAAUGCCUAUGAAUCUGCCUGGUAGUGGGGGAUAACGUCCGGAAACGGGCGCUAGUACCCGGUCCAUCCUGUGGUAGAAAUUGGGUGAUCUUCGGACCGCUCGCUAUCAUAUGAGCCUAGGUCGGAUUAGCUAGUUGGUGGGGUAACGGCAUCACAAGGCUACGACCCGAAACUGGUCUGAGAGGAUGAUUAGUAACACUGGCACUGAGAAACGGCCCAGACUCCUACGGGAGGAAGCAGUGGGGAAUACUGGACGAUGGGCGAGAGCCUGAUCCAGCCAUGCCGCGUGUGUGAAGAAGGUCUUCUGAUUGUAAAGCACUUUAAGUUGGGAGGAAGGGAAGUACGUUAAUCCCUUACUGUUUUGACGUUACCAACAGAAUAAGCACCGGCUAACUUCGUG
rnacentral:rRNA from 1 species